UGCCCGGUGGUGUAAUGGCAGCACAAGAGACUUUGACUCUCUCGGAGGUGGUUCGAAUCCACCCCGGGCAACCA
rnacentral:tRNA from 2 species